rnacentral:rRNA from 1 species
GAUGAACGCUGGCGGCGUGCCUAAUAUAUGCAAGUAGAACGCUGAAGGAAGGAGCUUGCUCUUUCCGGAUGAGUUGCGCACGGGUGAGUAACGCGUAGGUCACCUGCCUGGUAGCGGGGGAUAACUAUUGGAAACGAUAGCUACUACCGCAUAACCGUAGAUGUUGCAUUAUAUUUCUUUACAAGGUGCAAUUGCACCACUACCAGAUGGACCUGCGUUGUAUUAGCUAGGUGGUGUGGUAACGGCUCACCAAGGCGACGAUACAUAGCGGACCUGACAGGGUGAUCGGGCACACUGGGAGUGAGACGCGGCCCAGACUCCUACGGGAGGCAGCAGUAGGGAAUCUUCGGCAAUGGACGGAAGUCUGACCGAGCAACGCCGCGUGAGUGAAGAAGGGUUGCGGAUCGUAAAGCUCUGUUGUAAGAGAAGAACGAGUGUGAGAGUGGAAAGUUCACACUGUGACGGUAGCUGACCAGAAAGGGACGGCUAACUACGUG